UACGUAGGGUGCGAGCGUUUGUCCGGAAUUACUGGGCGUAAAGAGCUCGUAGGUGGUUUGUCGCGUUGUCCGUGAAAACUCACAACUCAAUUGUGGGCGUGCGGGCGAUACGGGCAGACUGGAGUACUGCAGGGGGAGACUGGAAUUCCUGGUGUAGCGGUGGAAUGCGCAGAUAUCAGGAGGAACACCAGUUGCGAAGGCAGGC
rnacentral:rRNA from 1 species